UGUACCACAUUCAUGUGGCAAAUGCUGCUUUAUGGAGAUGUUUCUGAUACUGACCUACAAUAAUUCAGCCAAGGUACAAGGAAGGCACCUCAGGAAACAGGAUUUUAUGACCUGCUUCACGGGAAAGUCAGCUGAGUUUAUUCUCUGCUACAGGAGAGGUCAGAGAAUUAUUUCUACAUUUUAUGGCCUGCUCAGAGGAGAUGGGGCAAGGGGAAGAAUGCAUCAGACCAACAGGGAUCAUACCAACAGGGAUCAGAUACUCGCCUAAUCAAUAGAGACUGCAAUCAAUCAGAUAAGAACAUAACCAGGCACACUCUUUACUAUCAAUUCAGUCCUCACCAGAAGACUCUGGGGCCAUAAAAGUAGCAAGACUUCACCAGCUCAAGACGGCCAUCUUGAUAGACACGGUUAUGCUGUCACUUGUGAUCAGCACCUGGCAUCUGAGGCUGAAGGCUCUGCCCAAAUAAAAGACUCUUCAGUGCAAGUCAUUGACAUCCACCAGGAUCAGGCCAGGACACUCUCCUUGUCCAUGUCUCUCUCCUUGCACUGGUUCAUUUGACCCCAUUUUCCUAACCCUUUUUGUCUUGAUGUUAAUUGUCUGAUAUGGAAUGUGUAAUCUAUAACAUUUAUAUAUUAAUUAUACUACAAUGUGUGAUUUGCAAUAUAGACUGACUUGUGGCUUGAGCCCGUGUGCCCAUGGCGCUAACUACUGAGUGAACAGGUAGUGCUAAGGAGAAUUGCUUCCUUGGGAACUCCGUGUAGCUGUGACUUUUACGAUUGAAAGAACACCAAUGAAAAUCUGACCUUGUGGAAAGCUACAAACAUGCACAGACUUGGUUACGUCUCAUCUUUCGCUGCUCGCAACACACAGUUACAGCAGUAUUAAAGAAGAGCAGUGGGUUCUGAACACAUUUCAGAAUUAUGACAUCAGGUUUGGACGUGGCUUUUGAGGCAGAGGGGCAAGUCAAAGAAGCAUUCAGGCUGUUGGUAUCUGCACUGAUAAAGAUAGAGGUGGAAGCAAGAUCACAUUUCUACUGUCUUCAGGAAAUGAGAAAAUGAAUCUAGGAAAUUUCCGUCUUUAAAUAUACUCUAUAAGUGUGCUGUCCAAUACACAGAUAGCAACUGAGCACUGGAAUAUAGCUAGUCUGAAUGGAGAUGUUCUGUUUGACUUUUUUGGACUUCACAUGUGUGAGAUCAUGCAGCAUUUGUUUUUCUGUGCCUGGCUUAUUUCACUUAGCGUAAUGUCCUCCAGGCUCAUCCAGG